UUUCCGUAGGUGAACCUGCGGAAGGAUCAUUACAGAGUUCAUGCCCUCACGGGUAGAUCUCCCACCCUUGAAUAUUUAUACCUUAGUUGCUUUGGCAGGCCGUGGAAACACCAUGGGCUCCGGCUUAUGCGUGCUUGCCAGAGGAAACAAACUCUGUUUUAGUGAUGUCUGAGUACUAUAUAAUAGUUAAAACUUUCAACAACGGAUCUCUUGGUUCUG
rnacentral:misc_RNA from 1 species